rnacentral:tRNA from 1 species
GCCGAAGUCGUUCAGCCAGGUAGAAUGCUAGUCUCGAAAACUAGUUCCGCAAGGAAUCGCAGGUUCAAAUCCUGCCUUCGGCG